rnacentral:rRNA from 1 species
CGGACGGGUGAGUAACGCGUGGAAAACCUGCCGUAUACUGGGGGAUAACACUUAGAAAUAGGUGCUAAUACCGCAUAAGCGCACAGCUUCGCAUGAAGCGGUGUGAAAAACUCUGGUGGUAUACGAUGGUUCCGCGUCUGAUUAGCUAGUUGGUGGGGUAAUGGCCUACCAAGGCAACGAUCAGUAGCCGGCCUGAGAGGGUGAACGGCCACAUUGGGACUGAGGCACGGCCCAAACUCCUACGGGAGGCAGCAG